GACGAACGCUGGCGGCGUGCCUAAUACAUGCAAGUAGAACGCUGAAGAGAGGAGCUUACUCUUCUUGGAUGAGUUGCGAACGGGUGAGUAACGCGUAGGUAACCUGCCUUGUAGCGGGGGAUAACUAUUGGAAACGAUAGCUAAUACCGCAUAACAAUGGAUGACACAUGUCAUUUAUUUGAAAGGGGCAAUUGCUCCACUACAAGAUGGACCUGCGUUGUAUUAGCUAGUAGGUGAGGUAAUGGCUCACCUAGGCGACGAUACAUAGCCGACCUGAGAGGGUGAUCGGCCACACUGGGACUGAGACACGGCCCAGACUCCUACGGGAGGCAGCAGUAGGGAAUCUUCGGCAAUGGGGGCAACCCUGACCGAGCAACGCCGCGUGAGUGAAGAAGGUUUUCGGAUCGUAAAGCUCUGUUGUAAGUCAAGAACGGGUGUGAGAAUGGAAAGUUCACACUGUGACGGUAGCUUACCAGAAAGGGACGGCUAACUACGUG
rnacentral:rRNA from 1 species